rnacentral:lncRNA from 1 species
CUCAAUUUGGACAAAUUGGAUCACAGAGUGGUUUCUGCCCUCUAUGGGUGUAUUUUCUGUGUGUGUGGCCAGUGUUCAGCAGAUAAAUUCCGAAUCUCCACUUCCUUUCUUUGUAGAGGCAGAGAGAGCAUACUGUGUUACUGAAAUACUCCAUGGAAGAACUUGAAAGAAACAAAACUGGUCUUUAACUUGUCAGUCCCCUUUUGCUCAGAACCAAAAAUGAAGUCUCUGUGUAACCAAAUGGCUCAUAUCAAAUGUUUUUGAUCUUUUAGAACAGAAGAAUCGAUAACAGAAGAUGAUAAGAGGAGAAACUAUGGAGGAGUGUAUGUUGGUCUACCAUCUGAAGCUGUCAAUAUGGUGUCCAAUCAGACAAAGACUGUGCAGAAAAAUUAGAAGAAAAAAAUACCAUGACUCAAUGAUCAAGAGCCUGUUCAUCAAGAUCUGGAUGAAAUUUUUCCUUCAUGGGAUUUUGUAAUGUGCACAGACAUUUCCAAGGAAAUUCUAAACAGUCGCCACCCCUCCCCCCAAAUUCUUAGUUGGUAGUUGAAACCACGGGUACAUACUGAAUGUUGUGGUACUAGAAGGGAAUUGGUUAAACAACAUGCUUGGAUAUGGAACUUUCUGUGAUCCACCUGCAGAAGACAAACUUAUGAAGGGUUCUUGCCCAGCCGGUCGCUGUGUCCCUGCUGUGUUCUCACCUGAACAUCCCCACAGCUCAUGAAGAUCAUGUCUUUUCACUGAUGCUUUUUUGAUAGUUUUUAUAAAUUAAAAUCCUUCAUCUAUUUAUAACUUAAAAUAAUAAGGCACUAUCAACGAGUUACCCAAAGUAAUAUAUUUGUCUGUUAUUUUUCACUAUUUCUACUUCAUGUUGAUUUUUAGCUGUAAAAUUGAUUAAAUUGAUAACUUCCUGCUAUCUCCCUUUUUUACUAUUGGUUUUCAGCUUUAUUUAAAUGUCAAAGGAGUUUCUUUAUUGGGAACAACACAUUACAUGGCAAUACUUCAACUGCUGAGGUUUGCAUGCCGUACGUACAUUUCAAUUAACUUCUUCUUUUCUUUAGUUAAAGGCUUAUGUAACUACAAGUACUUCAUAGCCAUCAAGUCUCCCAUUCUACUUGUGUGUGAUCAAAGCAUCUUAUCAUGUUAAUUCUGUACUGUUUUCAAGGACUUGUCACUGAUGGUUAGUGGGAUAUUUGGAAAGUUCUUAAUUUGAUAACGACCUUGUGUAUCCACUUAAUACUGCAAUGUAAAUCACUCAAUUGCAUUUCAACAAUUAAAACAUUUUUAUCCCUCUU